rnacentral:rRNA from 1 species
UACGUAGGGGGCAAGCGUUGUCCGGAAUCAUUGGGCGUAAAGCGCGCGUAGGCGGCCCUGUAAGUCCGUUGUGAAAGUCAAAGGCUCAACCUUUGAAAGCCGAUGGAUACUGCAGGGCUAGAGUCCGGAAGAGGCGAGUGGAAUUCCUGGUGUAGCGGUGGAAUGCGUAGAGAUCCGGAGGAAGACCGGUGGCGAAGGCGGUCUGCUGGGCAGUUUCUGACACUGAGGCGCGACAGCGUGGGGAGCAAACAGG